CACAACCAUGACAGUUGACGUAGCAAGGAACCCAGCUCAGCUAUACGCCAAUGCAGCCGAUACUUAUUACCUGAAAUCACAGCGCUACGCAGAGCAAGUCGCCAAGACUAAGCUGCCGCCACCGCGCACUGAUGUUGAUGACAUCCCGUGAGUAUCUUCACUUCCCGCCUUCCUGUGAUGCUCACCACAAUGCGAGUAAAGCAUUUAGACUUUUUUUGGGGACAGCUUGUCUCAUGCUCUUCUAGUGCAUCACGCCCCGUGCUAACAUCAGUGAACUGCGAUUGUUUCCACUCCAGUAUUUGUUGUGCAUGCCAGAAGAGCCACACUUAACCUCUAACGAUCAGUCUGCUUUGCUUUGCGGAUUCACCCACUCUCUUUACUCCGGGUUCUUGCAGUGCAAGCCAAGGCAACCCCGCCGUGAUCCGCUUCCUGCUGAAUGCCCCCGUUGCUUUGCAACAGAAAUGAUAUUUUGCACUGUCAUGUGAAGCAGAAGACAUUACAGGCAAAGCCAGGUGGUCUCCAGUGGAAAUGGCUCGGCCAGGCUUACCAAUGUCCUUAGCUAUUUCACCAUCGCAUCUGGCUUCAGUGUCACACAGUGUCUGUGACACUGAAACUGUUUCUUGUAUAUGCAGGCAUUCAGGACCACAGGGCAAGGUUAUUCCCCUGACAAUCAUUGACGACCCCGCC
rnacentral:lncRNA from 1 species